AACGAACGCUGGCGGCGGGGUUUAGGCAUGCAAGUCGAGCGGUAAGGCCCUUUCGGGGGUACACGAGCGGCGAACGGGUGAGUAACACGUGGGUGACCUGCCCUCAGCUCUGGGAUAAGCCCGGGAAACUGGGUCUAAUACCGGAUAUGACUUCAUGACGCAUGUUGUGGAGUGGAAAGCCUUGUGCGGCUGAGGAUGGGCCCGCGGCCUAUCAGCUUGUUGGUGGGGUGANGGCCUACCAAGGCGACGACGGGUAGCCGGCCUGAGAGGGCGACCGGCCACACUGGGACUGAGAUACGGCCCAGACUCCUACGGAAGGCAGCAGUGGGGAAUCUUGCGCAAUGGGCGAAAGCCUGACGCAGCGACGCCGCGUGAGGGAUGAC
rnacentral:rRNA from 1 species